AUUGAACGCUGGCGGCAUGCUUUACACAUGCAAGUCGAACGGCAGCGCGGGCUUCGGCCUGGCGGCGAGUGGCGAACGGGUGAGUAAUGCAUCGGAACGUGCCCAGUAGUGGGGGAUAGCCCGGCGAAAGCCGGAUUAAUACCGCAUACGACCUGAGGGUGAAAGCGGGGGACCGAAAGGCCUCGCGCUAUUGGAGCGGCCGAUGUCGGAUUAGCUAGUUGGUGGGGUAAAGGCUUACCAAGGCGACGAUCCGUAGCUGGUCUGAGAGGACGACCAGCCACACUGGGACUGAGACACGGCCCCGAAUCCUACGGGAGGCAGCAGUGGGGAAUUUUGGACCAUGGGGGCAACCCUGAUCCAGCCAUGCCGCGUGCGGGAAGAAGGCCUUCGGGUUGUAAACCGCUUUUGUUCGGGAAGAAAUCCUCUGGGCUAAUACCCCGGGGGGAUGACGGUACCGGAAGAAUAAGCACCGGCUAACUACGUG
rnacentral:rRNA from 1 species